rnacentral:lncRNA from 1 species
UAAAUCCUUAAGAACUUCGUGAUAUUCCUUCCAUCAAACCUCCCAACUUUGUCCACUACUACUUGUAAGGCCUUAGUAGAGUUUCUAUCCUCUCCAUGCACCUGUUGCCUUUCUUCCAUAAAUUGAGCAAAUGCCCUAAAUAAAUCAUGGGCACCUACUCCUGAUAAUCCAAACCCUGGAUUUUGAUCCCCCAUUUCAACUUAUUGAAAAAUCAGUGCCUUAA